AGAGUUUGAUCAUGGCUCAGAAUCAACGCUGGCGGCGUGCCUAACACAUGCAAGUCGAACGCGAAAGGGGCUUCGGCCCUGAGUAGAGUGGCGAACGGGUGAGUAACACGUGGGUGACCUACCUUCGAGUGGGGGAUAACGUCCCGAAAGGGACGCUAAUACCGCAUGACAUCCUGCUUUUGGAAAAGCGGAGAUCAAAGCUGGGGAUCGCAAGACCUGGCGCUUGAAGAGGGGCCCGCGCCUGAUUAGCUAGUUGGUGGGGUAACGGCCUACCAAGGCGACGAUCAGUAGCUGGUCUGAGAGGAUGAUCAGCCACACUGGGACUGGGACACGGCCCAGACUCCUACGGGAGGCAGCAGUGGGGAAUAUUGGACAAUGGGCGCAAGCCUGAUCCAGCCAUGCCGCGUGAGUGAUGAAGGCCCUAGGGUUGCAAAGCUCUUUCGCACGCGACGAUAAUGACGGUAGCGUGAGAAGAAGCCCCGGCUAACUUCGUGCCAGCAGCGGCGGUAAUAC
rnacentral:rRNA from 1 species